GAUGAACGCUGGCGGCGUGCCUAACACAUGCAAGUCGAGCGAACCCUUCGGGGUGAGCGGCGGACGGGUGAGUAACGCGUGGGUAACCUGCCCUGUACACACGGAUAACAUACCGAAAGGUAUGCUAAUACGAGAUAAUAUAUAAAAGUUGCAUGACUUUUAUAUCAAAGCUUUUGCGGUACAGGAUGGACCCGCGUCUGAUUAGCUAGUUGGUAAGGUAACGGCUUACCAAGGCGACGAUCAGUAGCCGACCUGAGAGGGUGAUCGGCCACACUGGAACUGAGACACGGUCCAGACUCCUACGGGAGGCAGCAGUGGGGAAUAUUGCACAAUGGGCGAAAGCCUGAUGCAGCAACGCCGCGUGAGCGAUGAAGGCCUUCGGGUCGUAAAGCUCUGUCCUCAAGGAAGAUAAUGACGGUACUUGAGGAGGAAGCCCCGGCUAACUACGUGCCAGCAGCCGCGGUAAUACGUAGGGGGCUAGCGUUAUCCGGGAAUUACUGGGCGUAAAGGGUGCGUAGGCGGUCUUUCAAGCCAGAAGUGAAAGGCUACGGCUCAACCGUAGUAAGCUUUUGGAACUGUAGGACUUGAGUGCAGGAGAGGAGAGUGGAAUUCCUAGUGUAGCGGUGAAAUGCGUAGAUAUUAGGAGGAACACCAGUAGCGAAGGCGGCUCUCUGGACUGUAACUGACGCUGAGGCACGAAAGCGUGGGGAGCAAACAGGAUUAGAUACCCUGGUAGUCCACGCCGUAAACGAUGAGUACUAGGUGUCGGGGGUUACCCCCCUCGGUGCCGCAGCUAACGCAUUAAGUACUCCGCCUGGGAAGUACGCUCGCAAGAGUGAAACUCAAAAGGAAUUGACGGGGACCCGCACAAGUAGCGGAGCAUGUGGUUUAAUUCGAAGCAACGCGAAGAACCUUACCUAAGCUUGACAUCCCAUUGACCUCUCCCUAAUCGGAGAUUUCCCUUCGGGGACAGUGGUGACAGGUGGUGCAUGGUUGUCGUCAGCUCGUGUCGUGAGAUGUUGGGUUAAGUCCCGCAACGAGCGCAACCCUUGCCUUUAGUUGCCAGCAUUAAGUUGGGCACUCUAGAGGGACUGCCGAGGAUAACUCGGAGGAAGGUGGGGAUGACGUCAAAUCAUCAUGCCCCUUAUGCUUAGGGCUACACACGUGCUACAAUGGGUGGUACAGAGGGUUGCCAAACCGUGAGGUGGAGCUAAUCCCUUAAAGCCAUUCUCAGUUCGGAUUGUAGGCUGAAACUCGCCUACAUGAAGCUGGAGUUACUAGUAAUCGCAGAUCAGAAUGCUGCGGUGAAUGCGUUCCCGGGUCU
rnacentral:rRNA from 1 species